rnacentral:rRNA from 1 species
AAUGUGCCGAGAGGUGAAAGCUUUAGUGCCUGUAGAUGAGCUCGCGUCCGAUUAGCUAGUUGGUAGGGUAAAGGCUUACCAAUGACGACGAUCAGGUAGCUGGUCUGAGAGGAUGAUCAGCCACACUGGGACUGAGACACGGCCCAGACUCCUACGGGAGGCAGCAGUGGGGAAUUUUCCGCAAAUGGGCGAAAGCCUGACGGAGCAAUACCGCGUGCGGGACGAAGGCUUUUGGGUCGUAAAC